AUAUGAUGGAGCAAUGCAAUUUCUAGUUGUCCAUUUUAUGUUCAAGUCAUUAUCUGGACCUUCAGCUGCUGUUAUUUCUACUUAUUGCUGAGCUUUAAGAUUGUCACUUUUUGCAGCUUUUGUGGAAAAGAUCCAUACUGGAGCUGACCUAAUCUCAUUGAACAGUUUGGUGUUGGCAUCUACUCAAUAUACUUGGUGGCUUACUAUGUUGAAGUUGUCGACAAGCACAAUGAUGACAAACAAUAUGUUUGGGAGUCCAAAGCUGAUGGACCAUUUGCCAUCUCCGAGGAUACAUGGAAUGAACCCCUUGGCUGUGGAACUGAUAUGUGUGGGAUUACCUGGAGAAAGGCAAGCUAAAGCUAUCACCAUGAUACUUCUAGCUCUGGCAGUAUGAUAUGCAUGUAUCAGUCAUGAAGAUUCCUGACACAUGACACUACAAGUUUUCAAGUUCAGACACGCCCAACUUGCAAACAACAGUUUAGCCUAGUAAGAUCAGCUGCUAAAAUCAAUGGGUAAACAAACUCUGACCCUCGACCUGUAAUCACUUGAUUGGAGCUUUGAUGAAAGCAAUCUCACACCAUGCAUGUUUGCUUGCUUCAAUAUCUUCUUAUGUUGUGGCUGCUGAGUGUUGACCAAUUAACUUUUUUUUUGACUAGUUAGCAUCAUCAGUGUUUACGGCAGGGAAUUCUGACUAGGACCGAAUCCAAAUUGGAGCUGGUGUUAUAUUCAGGAACAAACCCAGAAUUUUGGGUGAAUUCCAAGCCCAAGGAUUUGAGCGGUAUCUCUCCUAGUUACAUGUCUCAUCAGACUAACAUCAAUGAAAAGACUCGUGGUGUUCUUAUGAAUAGGCUUCUACCAGAGAUGCAUUGUAAACUUGAGCUGCUUCGUGAGACCCUGUUCCCCAUG